CUGAUGCAGCGACGCCGCGUGAGGGAUGACGGCCUUCGGGUUGUAAACCUCUUUCAGCAGGGACGAAGCGAGAGUGACGGUACCUGCAGAAGAAGCACCGGCCAACUACGUGCCAGCAGCCGCGGUAAUACGUAGGGUGCGAGCGUUGUCCGGAAUUACUGGGCGUAAAGAGCUCGUAGGCGGUUUGUCGCGUCGUCUGUGAAAACCAGCAGCUCAACUGCUGGCUUGCAGGCGAUACGGGCAGACUUGAGUACUGCAGGGGAGACUGGAAUUCCUGGUGUAGCGGUGAAAUGCGCAGAUAUCAGGAGGAACACCGGUGGCGAAGGCGGGUCUCUGGGCAGUAACUGACGCUGAGGAGCGAAAGCGUGGGUAGCGAACAGGAUUAGAUACCCUGGUAGUCCACGCCGUAAACGGUGGGCGCUAGGUGUGGGUUUCCUUCCACGGGAUCCGUGCCGUAGCUAACGCAUUAAGCGCCCCGCCUGGGGAGUACGGCCGCAAGGCUAAAACUCAAAGGAAUUGACGGGGGCCCGCACAAGCGGCGGAGCAUGUGGAUUAAUUCGAUGCAACGCGAAGAACCUUACCUGGGUUUGACAUAUACCGGAAAGCCGUAGAGAUACGGCCCCCCUUGUGG
rnacentral:rRNA from 1 species